rnacentral:rRNA from 1 species
GAUGAACGCUGGCGGCGUGCCUAAUACAUGCAAGUCGAACGCAUAGCGAAAGGUGCUUGCACCUUUCAAGUGAGUGGCGAACGGGUGAGUAACACGUGGACAACCUGCCUCGAGGCUGGGGAUAACAUUUGGAAACAGAUGCUAAUACCGAAUAAAACUUAGUGUCGCAUGACACAAAGUUAAAAGGCGCUUCGGCGUCACCUAGAGAUGGAUCCGCGGUGCAUUAGUUAGUUGGUGGGGUAAAGGCCUACCAAGACAAUGAUGCAUAGCCGAGUUGAGAGACUGAUCGGCCACAUUGGGACUGAGACACGGCCCAAACUCCUACGGGAGGCUGCAGUAGGGAAUCUUCCACAAUGGGCGAAAGCCUGAUGGAGCAACGCCGCGUGUGUGAUGAAGGCUUUCGGGUCGUAAAGCACUGUUGUAUGGGAAGAACAGCUAGAAUAGGAAAUGAUUUUAGUUUGACGGUACCAUACCAGAAAGGGACGGCUAAAUACGUG